rnacentral:misc_RNA from 1 species
AAAGAAAAAAAAAAGAAAAAAAAAGGGGAACCAGAAACUUAUACACUGGUGCAUUUUGCUCUGUAAGCAAACGGACCCCACCACCUUCAACCCCAAAUCAAAGAGAGAAAAAGUUGUUAAAAAGCCUUAAAUCAAAUCUUCAACACCUCAAAAAUGAAACCUUGAAAAAAGAAAAGAAAAGAAGAAGAAAAACAUUAAAAAGGAGAAAUGGGGCUCGUCUUGUGUGGUGUACCUGCAACAACUGAAAUGUUUUCCCCUUUGUAUCGCUCAACGAACAAAUCGAUCGUGUCCUUGAAUGCUUUGGGAUCCAGUAAUAGAGUUGUGAUAUCCUGAAACAUGAUACCUGCCAAUUGCCAUAAUAACCCCUUCAAAACUAAAUCUUUGAAACCUGAGGAUAAAUAAAACAUAGUCGUAAAACAUUAUCAGAAUUUACGCAAAUUUUAGCAUCAAAGAGAGCUUAGGGGUGUCUUGUUAUUUAAAGACAGAAAACUCUGUAAUAACUAGACGGACUUGUUCUUUGUGGUCAAGAUCAUAAAUGGGAAGAAAAAAUGGGUACUUUCAAUUUUCUUGCCUGCAUUUUUUCAGCAACCAAAGAGAAUACAAGGAGCAAAAAAAGGGCAAAAUGGCAAAGAAACCUUCUCUGGGGAAAUCGGGGACAACGCGAAUCUUAGUUUGGAUGCCAUGGAUGCGAGGAUCUUGGUCUCUGAAAGCCGACAUUGUAUCUUUUUUUGUAUCUUACUAGUAUCUAUGUUGUGUAUAUAAUAGAGAAACAGCAACAGAAACAA